AUUCGACUCAGGUUAAAACCUGGACCAAUACUUUGCAACUUAAUAAAAACAAUCAAGAACGGUUUUAGGGAAGGGCCGUUUUGAUGGUGAUAACGGCGUAACUGAUAAGCCUGUUUAGCCAGGCCCCCUUUCCUCAGAUCGAGUCCGGCACCACCGUCCUCUCCCUCUCCGCGCCGCUCAACGGCGGAACUGCCGCCUCCACCACCCGGAGGCAGUCGUGGGGGCCUCCAUGGUAGCCGAUCGCGACGACGUCGGGAGAGCACCGGCGGCUCCGCUCUUCUCCUGAAAAGACGAAAAGAGGUCUAUAUGUCCGUGUUGGAAUAAAUUGGAAUACCUUGGUGAGCUUAAUAUCUCUAAUGUUCUACUUUAGAUCGAGACCCAAUGGAAGCAAGGCAUCAUUAUUAGGUGCUAGCCAGGCACGGUGCAUUUCUACUCAUACCAGGCCUCCUAUUCAAAGCAAGACUUAACACUCGUCUUUUAUGCUAAAAGAAACUAAUUAUGAGAUGUAGAAAUAUCACUUCAUCAAGUAGGGAGAGGAAUAAAAUUUUGUGGUUAACUGCUAUAAAGCGGCCCAAUUUAAGUGCCACAACAAAUUUGAUUGUGGAGGUCACUGCUUCCAGCUCCAAAACUUCAGAAAAAGUUGAUUGUGAAGGAGAAGGCAUUUGCAAUGCUGAUAUGGUUUGCAACAGCACAUGAUGAUAACAUUAUUAAAAAUCAUUCACAGGCAAAGAUCAUGUCCCACUAUGAAGAUAUCUUCUGGCUAAGAUGAACGUAGAAAAUUAAGAUUUCAUACCUCUGCUAUGUGGAAGUUUUGCAAAGUCGAGUCUGAGAGGUGCAGUCAGGAAGACCAUUUCGAAGCAAAACUUCUGGAGACAAUGGUGGUGUAGAUAUGGACAAGUAUAUAAUUUCGGGAUCAGAUGCUGAAGCCUGCGCAGAGCUACUGUUAUUUUCAUGGCCAGAAUGGGUAUGAAGGCUUACCUGUCCAAUUUGUUCAGGAUCGCCACCAGUGCUGGUGAUGCCCUUUUGAAGCAUGCCAUCCUCCUUACGGCCUCCGAGAGUCCAUGGAGAAUUCUAUAUAAAGAUAUGCUGAGCGGGACGUCAUUGUUGCUUGUGUCAAGGGCUGUUUGAAUUUUAAAUUGGCAAAAAGACUGAGGCAGCUCGAGUCGAGUUCCCAAGCUAAAGAUACUCUGAGCAUGACAAGAGGCUUGGUGGUGCCUCACCAUGCCCAGGAUUGAUUCUUGCAAUCUUCUAAGCUUAGGAUGCUUUAGUUAAAGAGCUCCAGAUGGAAACCUUUACGAACUUGAAUUCAAGCUCAUUAUUGCCUCUGUUGCUGCGACCAUGAUGCAUUGUGCAAUUCUCUUUUAAUUCUGGUGCCAAAGUUAUUGAUUUAUCGAUCACUACAAAGCCAAAUACUACCGAAACUUGUUCUCCUCGUUAUGACCUUUCAGAUUA